ACGAACGCUGGCGGCGUGCUUAACACAUGCAAGUCGAGCGGUAAGGCCCUUCGGGGUACACGAGCGGCGAACGGGUGAGUAACACGUGAGCAACCUGCCCCUGACUCCGGGAUAAGCGGUGGAAACGCCGUCUAAUACCGGAUACGACCCGCCACCUCAUGGUGGAGGGUGGAAAGUUUUAUCGGUCAGGGAUGGGCUCGCGGCCUAUCAGCUUGUUGGUGGGGUAACGGCCUACCAAGGCGAUUACGGGUAGCCGGCCUGAGAGGGCGACCGGCCACACUGGGACUGAGACACGGCCCAGACUCCUGCGGGAGGCAGCAGUGGGGAAUAUUGCAGCAAUGGGCGAAAGCCUGAUGCAGCGACGCCGCGUGGGGGAUGACGGCCUUCGGGUUGUAAACCUCUUUUACCACCAACGCAGGCUCCACGUUCUCGUGGGGUUGACGGUAGGUGGGGAAUAAGGACCGGCUAACUACGUGCCAGCAGCCGCGGUAAUACGUAGGGUCCGAGCGUUGUCCGGAAUUAUUGGGCGUAAAGAGCUCGUAGGCGGCAUGUCGCGUCUGCUGUGAAAGACCGGGGCUUAACUCCGGUUCUGCAGUGGAUACGGGCAUGCUAGAGGUAGGUAGGGGAGACUGGAAUUCCUGGUGUAGCGGUGAAAUGCGCAGAUAUCAGGAGGAACACCGGUGGCGAAGGCGGGUCUCUGGGCCUUACCUGACGCUGAGGAGCGAAAGCAUGGGGAGCGAACAGGAUUAGAUACCCUGGUAGUCCAUGCCGUAAACGUUGGGCGCUAGGUGUGGGGACUUUCCACGGUUUCCGCGCCGUAGCUAACGCAUUAAGCGCCCCGCCUGGGGAGUACGGCCGCAAGGCUAAAACUCAAAGGAAUUGACGGGGGCCCGCACAAGCGGCGGAGCAUGUUGCUUAAUUCGACGCAACGCGAAGAACCUUACCAAGGUUUGACAUCACCCGUGGACCUGUAGAGAUACAGGGUCAUUUAGUUGGUGGGUGACAGGUGGUGCAUGGCUGUCGUCAGCUCGUGUCGUGAGAUGUUGGGUUAAGUCCCGCAACGAGCGCAACCCUUGUUCCAUGUUGCCAGCACGUAAUGGUGGGGACUCAUGGGAGACUGCCGGGGUCAACUCGGAGGAAGGUGGGGACGACGUCAAGUCAUCAUGCCCCUUAUGUCUUGGGCUGCAAACAUGCUACAAUGGCCGGUACAAUGGGCGUGCGAUACCGUAAGGUGGAGCGAAUCCCUUAAAGCCGGUCUCAGUUCGGAUUGGGGUCUGCAACUCGACCCCAUGAAGGUGGAGUCGCUAGUAAUCGCGGAUCAGCAACGCCGCGGUGAAUACGUUCCCGGGCCUUGUACACACCGCCCGUCACGUCAUGAAAGUCGGCAACACCCGAAACUUGUGGCCUAACCCUUCGGGGAGGGAAUGAGUGAAGGUGGGGCUGGCGAUUGGGACGAAGUCGUAACAG
rnacentral:rRNA from 1 species